rnacentral:rRNA from 1 species
GCUAACUCUGUGCCAGCAGCCGCGGUAAUACAGAGGGUGCAAGCGUUAAUCGGAAUUACUGGGCGUAAAGGGAGCGUAGGUGGCUCGAUAAGUCAGAUGUGAAAUCCCCGGGCUCAACCUGGGAACUGCAUUUGAUACUGUUGAGCUAGAGUAUGUGAGAGGAAGGUAGAAUUCCAGGUGUAGCGGUGAAAUGCGUAGAGAUUUGGAGGAAUACCGAUGGCGAAGGCAGCCUUCUGGCAUAAUACUGACACUGAGGCUCGAAAGCGUGGGUAGCAAACAGGAUUAGAUACCCUGGUAGUUCACGCCGUAAACGAUGUUUACUAGUCGUUGGGUCCCUUGAGGACUUAGUGACGCAGCUAACGCAAUAAGUAGACCGCCUGGGGAGUACGGCCGCAAGGUUAAAACUCAAAUGAAUUGACGGGGGCCCGCACAAGCGGUGGAGCAUGUGGUUUAAUUCGAUGCAACGCGAAGAACCUUACCUGGUCUUGAUAU